GCCUCCUUAGCUCAAUCGGUAGAGCAUGCGGCUGUUAACCGCAGGGUCGUAGGUUCGAGUCCUACAGGAGGCGCCA
rnacentral:tRNA from 1 species